rnacentral:tRNA from 1 species
GGGUUGUUAGCUCAGUUGGUAGAGCAGUGGACUCUUAAUACCAUCGGUCGCAGGUUAAAAUCCUGCACAACCCGCCA